rnacentral:rRNA from 1 species
GUGUCAGCAGCCGCGGUAAUACGAAGGGGGCUAGCGUUGUUCGGAGUUACUGGGCGUAAAGGGCGCGUAGGCGGCUGUCCAAGUCAGGUGUGAAAGCCCGGGGCUCAACCCCGGAAAUGCACUUGAGACUGGGCGGCUUGAGGACGGGAGAGGAUAGUGGAAUUCCCAGUGUAGAGGUGAAAUUCGUAGAUAUUGGGAAGAACACCGGUGGCGAAGGCGGCUAUCUGGACCGUUUCUGACGCUGAGGCGCGAAAGCGUGGGGAGCAAACAGGAUUAGAUACCCUGGUAGUCC